CCUACACACAAUGUAUUAGUAAGUUAGUUCGCUGUGCACCUUAGACCUCAAUACACACUACGAUUACCGGACUCCGUAUGACUACGAUACAGUUACAUGGUAUAAUAUAGAACAUAGUUGAUAUAUUUUUUUCACUUUACUCCUCAAAAAACCAACCAAAAACCAAAAAUGGGCGCUGAAAAAGUAACCAUGAACAUCGUCGUCGUCGGACAAGUCCAAUCUGCCAAGGCCAUCAAAUCGGUCGCCAAAGCCACCCCAGCCACCAGCCAAUUGAUGACCUGUUAAUAAUAUUCGUCAAGUCUCCAUAAAUCUCAAAUUCAAAAAUGCCAUAGUCCAAAACUCCAAACAGCACUAUAUAAUGAUAAUAUGUUAUUUAUUGUGUGUUGACAUCGCAAAAUAAAUCUACCUUUCUGUCGCUCAA